UACGAAGGGUGCAAACGUUGCUCGGAAUCAUUGGGCGUAAAGCGCACGUAGGCGGCUUCGCAAGUCGGAUGUGAAAUCCCUCGGCUCAACCGAGGACGUGCAUCCGAAACCGCGAGGCUUGAGUACUGAAGAGGAUCGCGGAAUUCCCGGUGUAGAGGUGAAAUGCGCAGAUAUCAGGAGGAACACCGGCGGCGAAGGCGGCACUCUGGGCCGGUACUGACGCUGAGGAGCGAAAGCGUGGGUAGCAAACAGG
rnacentral:rRNA from 1 species